CACAAAGCCGACUGAUGGCUCAUUUACAUUAGGUCAUUUUGACCGAUUCGGUUGCAGCCCGUAUUCGGUUACCGACUGGUGUAAACGGGUUUUCGGUUAGCCGUAUUCGGCCGCAGACCGUUUUUACAUGGUUUUUACCAUUCCCACACAGUUAGUUCCUUCUCGUAAUACAACAUGUCGCCCCAUGAUGAUGCCUUCAAC